rnacentral:rRNA from 1 species
CCUACGGGAGGCAGCAGUAAGGAAUAUUGGUCAAUGGACGCAAGUCUGAACCAGCCAUGCCGCGUGAAGGAUUAAGGUCCUCUGGAUUGUAAACUUCUUUUAUCUGGGACGAAAAAAGGCGAUUCUUCGUCACUUGACGGUACCAGAUGAAUAAGCACCGGCUAACUCCGUGCCAGCAGCCGCGGUAAUACGGAGGGUGCAAGCGUUAUCCGGAUUCACUGGGUUUAAAGGGUGCGUAGGCGGGCAGGUAAGUCAGUGGUGAAAUCCUAGAGCUUAACUCUAGAACUGCCAUUGAUACUAUCUGUCUUGAAUAUUGUGGAGGUAAGCGGAAUAUGUCAUGUAGCGGUGAAAUGCUUAGAUAUGACAUAGAACACCUAUUGCGAAGGCAGCUUACUACGCAUAUAUUGACGCUGAGGCACGAAAGCGUGGGGAUCAAACAGGAUUAGAUACCCUGGUAGUCCACGCCCUAAACGAUGAUUACUCGACAUUUGUGAUACACUAUAAGUGUUNUGAGAGAAGACAUUAAGUAAUACCACCGUACGGAAGUACGACCGCGAGUUAGUAACGUACGAAAGAAGUUAGACGGACGUGAGACGNGCCGACGGACGACGACGAGGGGAGGAGG